AUCAUGCCUUUUUGAGCUUAUUUUCUUCUUCUGCAGCUAAAACAUAAAUCACCUUUUGCACAGAAAAGUUUUCUUAUUGAGCACAGGAUUACACCAGAAACUGGAGAUGAAUAAUCCAACCCAGACUCAGAAUAACAUAAAGUAACCCUAGCAGUUCCUUCAAUUUUCUCUAUAGAGGUUCUUGCACAGCUGUAUAGCACUGUGAUCUCGGAGGCUGUCUUUAAAGGGACCAAAGUUUCUCUAAUACCAAGAGAUCAACCCCCUUCUGAGCCCUCUGUCUCCAUUAUGAAGUCAGAAAAUGAGAGCAUUGCUGCUUGCCUGGUGAAAGAUUUCUACCCUAAGAAAUUGAAGAUAUUCAUGAAUUCUGACAGUCAAACUAUAUAUGAAGCAACAUCUAUCCUCACAUCUAGUGGGAAAUACAGUGCCGUCAAAGUUGCCAAGUUGUUCUCAAAUGAACCAGUAUCUUGCUCUGUUCAACAUAACAGCAAACUUAUUAAGAAAACCCAAACAGCUGAGAAGCUGCCAGAUUUCACAUCUCCUGCUCCUGAACCGUGCAACAUUUCAAACUCUACUCUCAAAGACAAGAAUGAGGAGAAAAGUGUGAAGACACUAUCCACGGCUCUGCUGGCUUUGGAAAUUGUGCUUGCAAAGAGCAUCAUCUUCAAUGUGCUCAUGAUUGCAAGAUUAGUCUUUGAGGUUUGCAAGAAGGAGCGAGGACGGACCUGAGAAAUAAAGCUAAAUUUCUAUCAACUUUAAUUAUAUAUACUGCUUUUGAUACUGACAAUUAGUCAGCAUUUGUUGUUGCUAGGACUAAAUUUUUAACAAGCUAAUUUUGGUAACUGAAUAACAAUUGUAGAGUUACAACAACAACUUCGGAGUUAAGACUGGAGGAGAUUUGGUAUUCCCUCAAAUCUUUUCUUACCUUGUGGGGGGGGGGAACAGCCCAUCUUUUAUUCAAAUCUGCCAUGUUUCUUAGGCUAGAAAAGUAAUAGAAUGUUUGACUGCUAACUUAUACUGAUUGUGCAAGAAUUUUUGGAAGAGCUGACUGUGAAAGAUGAUGGUCUUUUUAAACAUGUCUUCCGAUGUUUUUCAUUCAUGUACUUUCCUUUCCUAUUUUUAUAUGAAAGCAAUGUUUUGUGUUUUGGUGCAUUUGCCUGCAUAAUAAAUUGUUGCACAACAAGAAUUGUUUCUUUUAACAAUAUUAAAUGAUUUUAACCUAUAAAUGGCAGAGAGACUUUCCCUCCAGAGGUGUUAGGUCCAAUCCAGCUUCAUGCUGCGGGGGAGACUUUCUGAUUUGAGGGAACAGGGAAUGGAAUAUGGGCCUUUCCUCUCUAGGGGGUGUCAGCUCCGAUCUGUGCCAAGGCAGGGAGACUGGCUGGCUCCGUGGGUGGGGAAUGAAAUACAAGACCUUUCCCAGCUGGGGGGUGUUGGUUUGAUUUUGCCCGAAGCCAGAGAGACUGGCUGGGGUGUGUGAGUAGGAUACAAGGCCUUUCUCCAGUCUGGCUGCUCAUUGGAGGGACUAGAUGUGGGGCAAAGGCAGAAGUGAGGGAAUGGGAUUUGGAGACAAUUUUAAAAAAUGAAAACAAAGAAAUUAGUUUUUUUUUUCUUUUGCUACAUGAAUAAAAUGAUGUUUCUUCCCUCUUAACCAGAGUCCAUGAAAAGCAGAUUGUUCUGGGUAUGAGCUUAUUGGCCCUCGUAA